AGAACGUCGUGAGACAGUUCGGUCCCUAUCUGUUGUGGGCGUAAGAAGUUUGCGUAGAUCUGACCUUAGUACGAGAGGACCGGGUUGGACUAACCGCUGGUGCACCAGUUGUCUCGCCAGGGGCAUUGCUGGGUAGCUACGUUGGGAAGGGAUAAGCACUGAAAGCAUCUAAGUGCGAAACCCACUACAAGAUGAGACUUCUUUAAAGGGAUGUUAUAGACUAUGACGUAGAUAGGCUGUAGGUGUAAAGGCAGUAAUGUCAAAGCUGAGCAGUACUAAUUACCCGUAAGCUUU
rnacentral:rRNA from 13 species